CAUUAUGGUAGCCUGGGAAAACCGUGAUGAACUUUGGGCAAAUUUGAGAUUUGCUCUGGAAGUUCAUCUGGCCAAGAGUCCAUUCAAGCCCAUUUCCAAUGUUUCCAAAUCGAGGCACCAAUCACAACCGUUGAGGCGGGCUUUACACGAUGAUGAUAGCGUAGCAACGGCAGCAGCUUUUUGCUGU